rnacentral:rRNA from 1 species
GAUGAACGCUGGCGGCGUGCCUAAUACAUGCAAGUCGAGCGGACAGACAAUAAGCUUGUGCUUCUAACGUUAGCGGCGGGCGGGUGAGUGACGCGUGGAUAACCUACUUCUAUGACUGGGGGGACUUCGGAGAGCCAGUGCUGCUAAUAGAGAAUAUGUUGAACCGGUUGAAUCAGUGGUGAAUGGGGGUUUUCGUGUUUGUUUUAGCUGGUUCCGGGCCGGAUUGUCUGGUUGGUAAGGGAACGGCCUACCAAGGCGACGAAGCGUAGCCGACCUGAGAGGAUGAUCGGCCACACUGGAACUGAGACACGGUCCAGACUCCUACGGGAGGCAGCAGUAGGGAAUAUUCGGCAAUGGGCGAAAGCCUGACGGAGCAACGCCGCGUGAGUGAUGAAGGUCUUCGGGUCGUAAAACUCUGUUGUUGGGGAAGAACAAAUGUGUAAGUAACUAUGGACGUCUUGACGGUACCUAAUCAAAAAGCAACGGCUAACUACGUG